CUACCAUGCAGUCGAACGGACCACUUCGGUGGUUAGUGGCGCACGGGUGAGUAACACGUGGUUGACCUACCCCAAAGUAAGGGAUAACGGUCCGAAAGGACUGCUAAUACCUUAUAAGCUCCCGGUGUUUAGAAAACUGGGAGAAAAGUUCCGGCGCUUUGGGCGGGGACUGCGGACCAUCAGCUAGUUGGUGUGGUAACGGCACACCAAGGCGACGACGGAUAGGGGACCUGAGAGGGUGGCCCCCCACACUGGAACUGAGACACGGUCCAGACUCCUACGGGAGGCAGCAGUGAGGAAUAUUGCACAAUGGGCGCAAGCCUGAUGCAGCGACGCCGCGUGGGUGAUGAAGGUUUUCGGAUCGUAAAGCCCUUUUCUAGGUGACGAGUAAGGACGGUAGUCUAGGAAUAAGUGUCGGCUAACUACGUGCCAGCAGCCGCGGUAAAACGUAGGACACAAGCGUUAUCCGGAGUUACUGGGCCGUAAAGGGCGUGUAGGCGGACCUGUAAGUCUAUUCUGAAAGCUCCUGGCUAAACUGGGAGAGGCGAAUGGAGACUGCAGAUCUAGAGUGAGGAAGAGGAAAGUGGAAUUCCCCGUGUANUGGUGAAAUGCGUAAAGAUGCGGAGGACACCAGUGGCGAAGCGACUUUCUGGCCUUAACUGACGCUGAGGCGCGAAGCAUGGGGAGCGACGGGAUUAAAACCCCGGUAGUCAUGCCAUA
rnacentral:rRNA from 1 species